GUCCAGUUGUGGUGAACCGUGCGCCAGGCUCCAGGUUUAACCUGCUACGUGUGGUCUGAGUUCUAUAAUGAUUCAAAUAGGCUACGUGAUCCACUAUUGCUAGUGACCCUCAGGAACAAUUUACAAGGACGUGAUAGAGGAAAGAAAGGUAAAUGGAAUGGAAUGGAAUGAUGCAAAAAUAAAUGUAUGUGAAUAUUACUGACGGUGGCUAAUAUUUAACAUGAUACAAAUUGUAAAAUAAAACAGAGAUCAGCCCAGGCAUAUAAUGAAAACAUUAUAAAGAUCAGCCCAGGCAUCACCUCGACAGGUUCAGUGCUACAGAAACCUAUAGCUUGGAUCUCCACAUUUCAUCCACACAAAUUACGAGAGCACUAAUGUCAGGUGCGUGAAUGAGGACCCAAAAGCGAAUUAACAAAACAGAGUUUCUUUAAUGACGAAACACACGUAGGCUCAGAUGGACAGGCAGAUUCCGACAGGACAGGACAAGGUUAGAUGAACAGGCAGAUUCCGACAGGACAGGACAAGGUUGCAGCAAACACGACGAUAGUCUGGUUCAGGCAUGAGUAACACAAACGAGAAUCCGACAAAGACAAGGUUAGAUGAACAGGCAGAUUCCGACAGGACAGGACAAGGUUGCAGCAAACACAACGAUAGUCUGGUUCAGGCAUGAGUAACACAAACGAGAAUCCGACAAAGACAGAAGCAGAAACAGAGAGAGAUAUAGAGGCCUAAUCAGAGGGAAAAAGGGAACAGGUGGGAAAAGGGGUGAACGAGGUAGUUAGAGAAGACAAGGAACAGCUGGGGGAAAGAGGGGAAGAAAAGGUAACCUAAUACGACCAGCAGAGGGAGACAGGGUGAAGAGAAAGAACAGGAACAGGACACAACAUGACAAUACAUGACAACUAAUAUACCUAGCUCUUAUCAAUACAGAUGGUAAAUCACAGUGCAUGGAGAACACAGGAGGUUAGUGCCACGUUAAUUGGGGAGGAUAUGCUUGUUGUCGUGUCUUUGGCAUCAUAACCUGAAGAUGAAUCUCUAUCAAAAAUUCUCUGUAAUUAUUAUGACG
rnacentral:lncRNA from 13 species